UGGUGUUCGAAACUGCUCGUACUUCAUAUCUUCGUUUACAAAAUAUUAAUGUAUCAGGCGCACAGGGUAGCCUAAUGGAUAACAGCAGCAAAAACACUCCAGGCCAUACAUACAUAUAUGCAUGCAAGUGCUACCGUGCCACGCGCAACACAUCAGAUGCAACUACAAUGAAGCUAGCGCCAAUAACAACAACGAAACCGUAAUGCAGUUGUUUGUUUUAUUUAUUGACUCGCCUGAUCAAACUGACUGAUUGCUAUUAAACAUGCACGAUUAA